rnacentral:misc_RNA from 1 species
GGAACUGCGCAUCCUUAACUGAUCGAGGUCACCUAGGAAAGAAUGGUUGGAAAACGUCGGCAGGCGCCGGCCAAUCCUACAGAGCAUGUGACAAAGCCCCAUACGCUCGAGGAUCGGACGCGGUGCCGCCGCUGCCUUUCGGGCCCGUCCCCCCGGAGAGGGGGACGGCGACCCAACACACAAGCCGGGCUUGAGGGCAGCAAUGACGCUCGGACAGGCAUGCCCCCCGGAAUACCAGGGGGCGCAAUGUGCGUUCAAAGACUCGAUGAUUCACUGAAUUCUGCAAUUCACAUUAGUUAUCGCAUUUCGCUGCGUUCUUCAUCGAUGCCGGAACCAAGAGAUCCAUUGUUGAAAGUUUUAACUGAUUGCAUUCAAUCAACUCAGACUGCACGCUUUCAGACAGUGUUCGUGUUGGGGUCUCCGGCGGGCACGGGCCCGGGGGGCAGAGGCGCCCCCCCGGCGGCCGACAAGCGGCGGGCCCGCCGAAGCAACAGGGUACAAUAGACACGGAUGGGAGGUUGGGCCCAAAGGACCCGCACUCGGUAAUGAUCCUUCCGCAGGUUCACCUACCGAAAGGGAAGAAAG